AACAUGGUUAUUUCCCCAUCAACUGGAAAUUUACUACGACCAAUUAAAAUAAUGACUCUUCAGAAAAUGUCUGAGUCAGUGUAUUUGGGGAUGUGUCACAAGAUAGGGACCCCAAAACAGGUGGCCUUCAGGAGAGAUAUAGUGGAUAUCACGGAGCUGUUUAACAAUCGAAAUUAUCUAGUGAUACCAACGCUGAGUGGAAGUAGGAGAGAAGGGUUCAGAUUACCUGAUUCAGACAUAGACGCUAUGUUUUCGCUAAAUAACCUCCGAGUGAUCUGGGACUUCUCUCAGUCUGAGUAUUACAACCUACACAGACAGGCACUGAUUCUCUGUGACAGUUCUGAGAGUCCUCCAGGAUAUACGUUACUCUGGUUACCAUUGGAAAUAGCUGGACGGUUAGUGUUGUCAUCGUGUGUGAGGAUGAAUGGAGGACUCUAUAUAUCAAGUUCUAAAUUCAGAGAGAACGUCUGUGCAUCAUUCACUCCUAAUAACAGGAUAAAUGGGCCAUGUAGCACUAGCACAGACGGUUCAGAAAAUUUCACACUUGAUCAUGACCGAGCUUAUUGUUUUGUCAGUGAUUUUUGGCCCCCUCUGCCGCCUCAUUGAUAGACAGAUCUCACUCAUGGCCUCCACCUCAUGUUGUCAAUGACAUCGUCAGAAAUGGAUGUCACUUUGUAGCAAUAGGACACAAACUAGGAAACCAUGAAGACAACGAAUGGAGAAUUUCUUUCUCUCAGGCAGAAUACAAACUUGUAUACUCAAUGAAUCAUACCAAAUUCUUAACAUAUGGAUUGAUGAAAUUGUUUUUAAAGGAAAUCAUAAACAAAGAAUUGAGAGAUGAAGAAACACAGCUGUGUUCAUACCACAUGAAAACAGCUGUUUUUUGGGCCAUUCAACAAAACACACUACCUCAAUGGUGUCCACAAAAUCUCCUGGCCGGUUUCUGGGUCUGCUUCAGACCUCUCAUUAAAUGGGUGUAUGAGGGGAUCUGUCCAAACUUUUUUAUUCCAGAAAACAACAUAUUUCUGAGUACAAUCCAUGGCCAAACACAAACAAGUUUAUUCAGGCGACUGUAUGGGUUGUAUGAGAAGGGUAUAGCAUUGCUGCUACACAGUCCCUCCAUCAGGUCCUCUAUCAUUGAUGUCCUCUGUAAUCCCAGACUCACGGUGUGUACUGAUGAACACACUCUGAUCUCUGAGGCUGAGUUUGAUGUACAAUUAUUUGAAGAGAUAUAUUUUGAUGAUGCCAUACACCCAUCAGACCUACAAGGCUGUAUGAAGUACCUACACACAAUAGAACAGUUGAUAGAGUCCCCCCUGUCACAGUAUCAAGUUGUAAGUUUACAGAAACAUACAGCCACUAUCCUUCAGUGCACUGCUAUCAUAUUACACAACAUGUGCACAAACACAGGUGUCAACAAACAGAUGUAUAUUGCAGAAAAAAUAUCCUGUCACAUGCUCAAAUUAGCAGUCAAGUUUGGGUUUGUUUCUGAAAUGUUGUACAUUGCCAUGUAUUAUUACAAGACACUCAGAUUCAGGGAAGCUUUAUCUGUUAUAGAGAUGACAAAGGUCAAGUUAGCACAGCCAUAUCUGAUGUAUAGGGGACAUGUAGACAGAGAGAGGUAUACUGAGGCUGUAGGGGGACAGUCCUGGUCUACAAAGAUGAGACAGGCUGUAGCAUGGCAUAUUAUACUUGAAAAUAAAAUAUGUUAUAUCAAUGAACUGCUACCAGAACAACAGUCUAGUAGACAAAACAAUUGGGAUACAUUAUUUAUCCCACCUUUUGUUCUGCUGCACAUGCUAGAGUUUUUAAGCUCUAGACAUGUUGACACAAUGAGAGCACAAACAGCUCUAGAUGAUCUACAGGUCCUAGUCCACCAUGAUCAGGGACUGUAUGUUUGUAAUUUACUCAGAGACAUCUCCUGGGAGAUUCUGGGGAUCUGUCAACAAAUGGUAGGGAACCUCCAGGCUGCCCUAUACUCAUACCAACAGUCACUCAGACAAGAACCACGCCAUAAAAUACUAACUGCUACCACAGAAAGAAUUAAUGAUUUACAUAUAGCAACAUAAGCAUGUUAGAAUAUAUUGCAUGUCUUGAGAUAUCCAAAAGAUGCAUGCAAAUAAAGAAGUGUGUGAAAAAUAUUUGAAAGAGAGAGAGAAAUUCCCUUUUUUGAAAGGUGAGUUUUAUUUCAGUUUUGCUUUUGUGUGUUUAUUUGUGGUAGUAUAUGUUCUACUUUGUUAUCAAAUUAUAUUAAUCAAAGGUUAAUAUAAAAUAAAGUUUUUCUACC
rnacentral:sRNA from 1 species